CCCUACAUCAAGAACAAAUCUAACUUCCAGAAUCAUGUAAAUUUCCGUUUUUAUUAUUUAAAAAACCCCACACCGAUAGAUGUUUAUUCAUUAGGAGCUCUUAAGCAUCACUGACGUCUAAAGGUGCGUAAAAUCACCAUGAAACACAAGCAAUAAAAUUUUCCAAGUCGCCAUGAAGCAAAAUGAAAGUCGGUCACACGCCAAGAACGAUAACUCUCAGCACGGAACAAAUCGAACGGAGUUGACAAGUCGACACUGGAAGGACGAUCUUUUUAACUUUUUUGAUUCGCACAUCCGCGAAUUGCAAUAUGGUUUUUAUGGUCUUGGUAUUUUGGGAUGUGUUCUGAUCUUAAAAUCAACCAGAGCAACUACAAAGUUCACAUCAGUGGGUCAAAUACCUACAAGCUACAUAGAAAAGAAUGUGACGCUACAAGGAAAUGUCCGCUAUGUGACAGACACAGGGUCAUUACUAACUCAACACCAGCCUAUACUACAAACACCCACGUGGCUAUCAUCUCAAAAUGAUGAGGGUUUACUUCCAGUUGAAAUAAUUGGCGUUGCAGUGACACCUGGUGGUCGGAAGUGGCUUAUUGAUAGCAUCAAAGACAGACAUGUAUGGUUCAAACUCCUCCGAUCCUCACCAUCAUCGGUACAGUGUAUUGUGUAUAGGAAACCUGGAUUCUUGCGAAAAGUAAACGUCAAUGAAGAACUGAUAAAAAUGGGUUUUGGUAAAGUUCAUUUUGUUGAAGACCAACCUUUUUCCGACAGUCACCUGCAUGGGCAAGUUCUUGAAAGGUUACUCAAACUGGAAUCGGUUGCGGAAAGGAAAGGUCUUGGCAUGUGGAAAGCAACAAAAGAAAACAAAAUUGAAAAAGUUGCAAUCUUUCAUAAACUGAAAAACUUAAUUUUAUUUCCAGUGAAAUAUUUUAGAAAGCAGUCAUCAGAGAAAAAAGGAUUUUGAUUAGCAGCUAAGACAAUUUUUGUAUUCAGAUAUAUCCCAAUAUGGAUUCCUUGUAUGACAGUACCAUGUAGGUUUCACUAUAUUAUUUACAGCAGCAGCAACAGUAUUUCAAAGGUUAAAUCUAUUGUAAAGUUAAAACCUGACAAAAAGGUUGUACCAAGUGGUAGUCAAAUAUCACGAGAUGACUACAUGUUUGUCUGCUUUCAUUUUCAAUAAAGGCUAAUUGAGUUUUAUAAAAUCUAUUGAAAAUCCUUCAUUAAAAGAAAACCGGACCAAGAGUCAGUAUAAUGUACAUGUAGUACUGGAAACAUUCCAUUCACAUCAUGUAAGUGGACCCAUUAAAAGAAAACUGGACCAAGAGUCAGUAUAAUGUACAUGUAGGUACUGGAAACAUUCCAUUCACAUCAUGUAAGUGGACCCAUUAAAAGAAAACCGGACCAAGAGUCAGUAUAAUGUACAUGUAGGUACUGGAAACAUUCCAUUCACAUCAUGUAAGUGCACCCAUUAAAAGAAAACCGGACCAAGAGUCAGUAUAGUGUACAUGUAGGUACUGGAAACAUUCCAUUCACAUCAUGUAAGUGCACCCAUUCUCGGAGUGGUUUUUUCCCAUCCAAACCAGUGACCCACGAUUGGUAUAUCAAAGAUCAUGGUAUGUGCUGUCUAGUCUCUGGGAAAUUGCAUAUAAAAGAUCCCAUGUUGCUAAUUAAAAAAUGUAGUGAUGGUCCCUUUUUUUUCUGAUAACGUUUGGAACCUUUAGCUUAGGUAUUUUGUAAAAUUCUUUGCAGCGCUACAUUGGAAUAAUACUUUAGGCAUGCAAAUUAAACAGCGAAAUAGAGUUAAACCAUGUAUAAUAUAGCUCAUAGUUCAUAAUUUUAUUAUAAAGUUAACCCUUAAGGAAGGCUUUUAACAAAAUAAAGAAAAUAUAUGAUACAAGUAUGUAUGUAUGCCCACAUAAAACUGUCAGAUCAAAUGUCGGAAUUUAAUGUGCUUAUAUCAAAUUAAUGUUCAAACACACUCACUGGGGGCACAGACUCUUGACUUCCGCCAGAAAAUGUGUCCCAAAUGAGAAAAGGGGGUAGGGGUAAAAGAAAGCAACUGAAAUUUGGACCAAAAAAAUUAAUGGAUACAUAUUUUGUAAAAUUAAUAGACAAAAACUAAAUUUGUUUAUGUAUAUCCAAAUGUUUUAUUUUUAUUUGUUUAAAUUUGUACGCAAUUUAGACGGCUCACUAAUUUAAAAAUAUUUUGAUCGGACUAUUAAGACAAAUUUUGAACCAGAUCUGAAAUUAGUCAGAGUUUAGAACCUUUUAUUUGCCCAAUGGUGGGUUUAUACAAAAUGAAAAUUUGGCUUACCAUAAAUUCAACUAUAUAUUAAAUUUAUAAUUAAUAAUAAUUAAUCAUCAAAGUUUAUUAAAGUAUAUGUAAGGAGCGGGAAGUAAAGCAAGGUCCACUUAGGCUUUCAUUUUAAUUAAUGUAUGGACCAGCCCCACUCCGCACCCCCACUCCGCACCCCCACUCCGCACCCCAACAUAGACCCACAAAACAUUUAAAUUAUUUACUAAAAUUUCAUAUACCACAAUAAAAAUAAUAAUAUCGAGGAUAUAAUUAUGUAAAGGGCGAAAAACUGGGCAGAGUUUAGUUAAUAUUCUGUUAUCCCAGUACCCGGCCCAGUCACGCACCCCAACACAGCUCCAAGAUAAUUAUAUUUAUAUAUACUAGUUUGUUCUUUUAAUUUAAAUCUUAAAAUGUAAGUGUAUUUGGCUCAGUUCCAAAACUGCGAUGCCUGUUGUGACAAAACCCAUUGUCCAUUGUUCUUCUAUCCAUCUGUCAACUUCUCUUUUGAAGUCUUUUUGACUGGACUGUUCUAAAGCUUGGUACUAUGAUCUGUCAACUUCUCCUUUGAAGUCUUUUUGACUGGACUGUUCUAAAGCUUGGUACUAUGAUCUGUCAACUUCUCCUUUGAAGUCUUUUUGACUGGACUGUUCUAAAGCUUGGUACUAUGAUCUGUCAACUUCUCCUUUGAAGUCUGUUUGACUGGACUGUUUGGAAGCUUGGUACUAUGAUCUGUCAACUUCUCCUUUGAAGUCUAUUUGACUGGACUGUUCUAAAGUUUGGUACUAUGAUCUGUCAACUUCUCCUUUGAAGUCUGUUUGACUGGACUGUUCUAAAGUUUGGUACUAUGAUCUGUCAACUUCUCCUUUGAAGUCUAUUUGACUGGACUGUUCUAAAGCUUGGUAAUAUGAUCCUUUGGGGAACACUUUACAAACUAAUAGCGAUAUAUUGUGAACAGUUUUGAUCUUUUGAAUUUUUAUUUAAAAAAAAAUAAAUGAAAAUGUGAAAGUCUACCUUCUCUUUGAGUUUUGAUUGGAUAGUUCUAAAAUUAUAGUCCAUCCCAUCAUCCUAAAAAAAAAAAAAAAAUCAGUUUGGUUUGACAUAAGAAAAAAGUAAAAGUAUUUUGGAAAUAACAGAAAAAUACAAUUUUUGUGUGCAUUAAUGACCAAACAUUGCUAAUCUGCAAGAGUAGUAAUGAAGCAUUGGAUUUGUUCUGUUAUUCUCAAAAUGAAGUAUUGCAUUGACCUUGUUAGACAUGCCUCUGAUUAAACAAAGGGUCGGGGUGUAGCACAGUGGUAAAGCACACAUCUGAUGCACGGUCGGUCUAGAGUCGAUCCCUUUCGAUGGGUCCAUUGGGCUAUUUUUUUGUUCCAGCCAGUUGUUAAAAACUGGUGUAACAAAGGCCGUGGUAUGUCCUGUCAUGUCAUGGAUGAUGUAUAUAAAAGAUCUGUUGCAGCAAAUCGGAAGUAGUAGUCUAUUUUGUGGUGACAGCAGGUUUCCUCUCUCAUCUAUGUGGUCUGAUGCCAUAUAACUGUAAGUAAUGUGUUAAGUGAUGUUAAAUAAAAUAUUCUUUCAUUCCUUUCUUCUGAUUAAACAUUUAAUUUACAUAGCCUUGUUACAUGGUUGCUUGUCUUAUGAAUUUGAAUGUAUGUAUAUAAGAUUUUAGUUCAGUAUGUGUGUACAGUUUGUAAAUAAGUGUCAUCAGUGAUUAAAAAGUAAAUAAAAAACAGGA
rnacentral:misc_RNA from 1 species